rnacentral:rRNA from 1 species
GACGAACGCUGGCGGUAUGCUUAACACAUGCAAGUCGAACGAGAAGCUUUUUAAUGAUCCUUCGGGUGAACUAAGAAGUGGAAGUAGGCGAACGGGUGAGUAACGCGUGGGUAACCUGCCUCAUGGAAAGGAAUAGCCUCGGGAAACUGGGAGUAAAGCCUUAUAUUAUUGAGUUGUCGCAUGGCAAUUCGAUGAAAACUACCGGUGCCAUGAGAUGGACCCGCGUCCCAUUAGCUAGUUGGUGAGAUAACAGCCCACCAAGGCAACGAUGGGUAACCGGUCUGAGAGGGCGAACGGUCACACUGGAACUGAGACACGGUCCAGACUCCUACGGGAGGCAGCAGUGGGGAAUAUUGCGCAAUGGGGGAAACCCUGACGCAGCAAUACCGCGUGAGUGAAGAAGGUUUUCGGAUCGUAAAACUCUUUUAUUGGGGAAGAAGAAGUGACGGUACCCAAUGAAGAAGUCCCGGCUAACUACGUGCCAGCAGCCGCGGUAAAUGCACGCGUUGAGGCGGUGCG